rnacentral:lncRNA from 1 species
CUCAAACAGCUCUGCUGAAAGAUAUUUUCCUCCUCAUUUUAUAUUAAAGCAUAGCCCUGAAAGUUGUGAUUGCAAAGAAUACUCUCCCAGCAUCCCUUCCCCCUGAUAUCAUGGUAUCAUUCCCCAAAUUCCCUAUGCAUAAAGGAAGUUUUCCAUCCCUUUGUAGGACCUGAAAAGAAGAAGGAUGAAGUUAAUGGGCUGGAAAGGAAGCGGCGCAGCCACGGCAGUCUGCGAUUUGCAAGCCUCCUCACCAUCCCAAACGUGUUUGUCUUCUUGGCGAGCAGGAAACCUCUCUUCUCUGGGGGAGUUCCAGCAGAUUUUCACCCAUGUGGUUUUCUGUGAAAGUUCAUUAAUUUAUAUGUCUUUGGUGAG